UACAGAGGGUGCGAGCGUUGUCCGGAAUCACUGGGCGUAAAGGGCGCGUAGGUGGCUUGGUAAGUGUGCGGUGAAAGCCGGGGCUCAACCCCGGGUCUGCCGUGCAGACUGCCUGGCUUGAGCAUAGUAGAGGCAGGUGGAAUUCCGGGUGUAGCGGUGGAAUGCGUAGAGAUCCGGAAGAACACCGGUGGCGAAGGCGG
rnacentral:rRNA from 1 species